CCGCAGCCCGAGUGGUGGUCGUUAUUAUUGGGCCUAAAGCGUCCGUAGCCGGUCCGGUAAAUCUUUGGGUAAAUCGACGUGCUUAACACGUCGAAUUCCGAAGAGACUGCCGGACUUGGGACUGGGAGAGGUCAGAGGUACUCUUGGGGUAGGGGUGAAAUCCUGUAAUCCUAAGAGGACCACCAGUGGCGAAGGCGUCUGACCAGAACGGGUCCGACGGUGAGGGACGAAGCCGUGGGGCGCAAACCGGAUUAGAUACCCGAGUAGUCC
rnacentral:rRNA from 1 species